UACGAAGGGGGCUAGCGUUGCUCGGAAUCACUGGGCGUAAAGCGCACGUAGGCGGCUUUUUAAGUCAGGGGUGAAAUCCUGGAGCUCAACUCCAGAACUGCCUUUGAUACUGAGAGCUUGAGUCCGGGAGAGGUGAGUGGAACUGGCGAGUGUAGAGGUGAAAUUCGUAGAUAUUCGCAAGAACACCAGUGGCGAAGGCGGCUCACCUGGCCCGGUACUGACGCUGAGGUGCGAAAGCG
rnacentral:rRNA from 1 species